rnacentral:rRNA from 1 species
UACGUAGGGGGCAAGCGUUGUCCGGAUUUAUUGGGCGUAAAGGGCACGCAGGCGGUCCAUUAAGUUCAGGGUGACAGUUAUCAGCUUAACUGAUGAAGUGUCUUGAAAACUGGUGGACUUGAGAGCGAGAGAGGGACACGGAACUCCGGGUGGAGCAGUGAAAUGCGUAGAGAUCCGGAAGAACACCAAAGGCGAAGGCAGUGUCCUGGCUCGUUUCUGACGCUCAGGUGCGAAAGCGAGGGGAG